GAUGAAGAACGUAGCGAAAUGCGAUAAGUAGUGUGAAUUGCAGAAUUCAGUGAAUCAUCGAAUCUUUGAACGCACAUUGCGCCCUCUGGUAUUCCAAAGGGCAUGCCUGUUCGAGCGUCAAUUGUACCCCCAAGCUUUGCUUGGUGUUGGGCGUCUUGUCUCUAGCUUUGCUGGAGACUCGCCUUAAAGUAAUUGGCAGCCGGCCUACUGGUUUCGGAGCGCAGCACAAGUCGCACUCUCUAUCAGUAAAGGUCUAGCAUCCAUUAAGCCUUUUUUUCAACUUUUGACCUCGGAUCAGGUAGGGAUACCCGCUGAACUUAAGCAUAUCAAUAAGCGGAGGA
rnacentral:misc_RNA from 1 species